rnacentral:rRNA from 1 species
AACGAACGCUGGCGGCAUGCCUAACACAUGCAAGUCGAACGAGACCUUCGGGCCUACUGGCGCACGGGUGCGUAACGCGUGGGAACCUGCCCUUAGGUUCGCAAUAACUCCCCGAAAGGGGUGCUAAUACCGGAGAAUGUCUUCCGACCAAAGAUUUGUCGCCUUUGGAGGGGCCGGGGUGGGAUUGGCUAGUUGGUAGGGUAAACGCCUCCCAAUGCGAGGAUCCAUAGCUGGUUAGAGAGGAUGAUCAGCCACACUGGGGGGGAGAAACGGCCCAGAAUAUUAGGCAAGGGAGGAGUGGCGAAUAUUGGAAAAUCGGGGGUGGGAUGAUGGAGCACUGACGGGUGAGCGCUGAAGGCUGUAGGGUUGUGAAGCAAUUUUACACGGGAUGAUAAUGACAGUACCGGGAGAAUAAGCUCCGGCUAACUCCGUG